rnacentral:rRNA from 1 species
AUUGAACGCUGGCGGCAUGCCUUACACAUGCAAGUCGAACGGUAACGCGGGGCAACCUGGCGACGAGUGGCGAACGGGUGAGUAAUGCAUCGGAACGUGCCCAGUAGUGGGGGAUAGCCCGGCGAAAGCCGGAUUAAUACCGCAUACGACCUACGGGUGAAAGGGGGGGAUCGCAAGACCUCUCGCUAUUGGAGCGGCCGAUGUCAGAUUAGGUAGUUGGUGGGGUAAAGGCCUACCAAGCCGACGAUCUGUAGCUGGUCUGAGAGGACGACCAGCCACACUGGGACUGAGACACGGCCCAGACUCCUACGGGAGGCAGCAGCGGGGAAUUUUGGACGAUGGGCGCAAGCCUGAUCCAGCCAUGCCGCGUGCGGGAAGAAGGCCUUCGGGUUGUAAACCGCUUUUGUCAGGGAAGAAACGCGCUGAGCUAAUACCCGGUUGGGAUGACGGUACCCAAAGAAUAAGCACCGGCUAACUUCGUGCCAGCCGCCGCAGUAACAC